UACGUAGGGUGCGAGCGUUGUCCGGAAUUAUUGGGCGUAAAGGGCUCGUAGGCGGUUUGUCGCGUCGGGAGUGAAAACUCAGGGCUUAACCCUGAGCCUGCUUCCGAUACGGGCAGACUAGAGGUAUGCAGGGGAGAACGGAAUUCCUGGUGUAGCGGUGAAAUGCGCAGAUAUCAGGAAGAACACCCGUGGCGAAGGCGGCUCUCUGGAACGCAACUGACGCUGAGACGCGAAAGCGUGGGGAGCAAACAGG
rnacentral:rRNA from 1 species